rnacentral:lncRNA from 1 species
UCCCGUUCCUCUCCCGCAGCUGGUGGAUGAGAGCUGAAUAUCCCAGUAUCCUGUAACGAAAAAAAUAAAAUAAUAUUAGUAAGUUUUGAUACAUAGGUGUAUCUUUCGAUACACUCCUUCGAUUCUCGAACAGAUUAUUUCUAUAUAUUCUAUUCGAUGAUACAGAGCUAUAAAAACCUCUGACCCAUCGAUUGGAUGGUUAGAUUAAAUUUUUAGCCCCU